AAAGCCCGCGGCGUCUUCUACACGCCACUUCGCUGGGCUCCUGUCUCUGUCGCUGAGAGGCACUCUGGAGAGUCUGCGGCAGCCUCUGUCACACAGGGACCUGCACUGGUCGUGGGAGCCGCAGAGAGGCCCCCGGGACACGGAGGAAUUCGGAAAAUGGUUUAAAUGGAUUAAGGGCAGUGCAAGAUGCGCUUUGUUAAACAGAUGCUUCAAGGCAGCAUGCUCGUUAAGAGUCAUCACCACUCCCCAAUCUCAAGUACCCAGGAACACAAACACUGCAGAAGGCCGCAGGAUCCUCUGCCUAGGAAAACCAGAGACCCUUGUUCACAACUGUUUAUCUGCCGACCUUCCCUCCACUAUUGUCCUAUGACCCUGCCAAAUCCCCCUCUCCGAGAAACACCCAAGAAUGAUAAAUAAAUACUAAAAAAAGAAAAAAAAAUUCCCCCUUCCCAUACAAAUAUGCCUAGCUCAUAAAAGCAAUCCUAAAAGAAAAAAAAAAAAAAAACUGAAGCUGAUGGCUGGGCAUGGUGGCUCACGCCUGUAAUCCCAGCACUUUGGGAGGCUGAGGUGGGCAGAUCACCUGAGGUCGGGAGUUCGAGACCAGCCUGACCAACAUGGUGAAACCCCAUCUCUACUAAACAUACAAAAUUAGGUGGGCAUUGUGGCACAUGCCUGUAAUCCCAGCUACCUGGGAGACUGAGGCAGAAGAAUUACUUGAACCUGGGAGGCGGAGGUUGCGGCAAACCGAGAUCGCGUCAUUGCACUCCAGCCUGGGCAACAACAGUGAAACUCCGUCUCAAAAAAAAAAAAAAAAACCUGAAGCUGAAAUGAGUAAACCAAUUUUUUCAAGGUGAUAAACCCAGGGAGGGGCAGUGCUGACCUGAAACACUCAAGUGUCUGACUCAAGUGUCAGGUCACAUCAUCCUAUCACUUGGGACAUCCCCCCACCUCCAAGCUGCUCCCUGAAGUGCUCAGUGACCACCCUCCCAGAAGACACUCAACUGUGUGCUUUUCAGGUCCUUGCAACAACUCAUUGGGGGUGGUUUUCUUCUUUCACUAGACUGAGAGAAUCCAGAGGACAGAAAUCAUUUCUUCUUUUUUUUUUUUUUUUUUUGAGACGGAGUCUUGCCCUGUCGCCCAGGCUGGAGUGCAGUGGCGCAAUCUCAGCUCACUGCAACCUCCACCUCCCGGGUUCUAGCAAUUCUGCCUCAGCCUCACGAGUAGCUGAGAUUACAAGGGUGCACCACCACGCCCAGCUAAUUUUUGGAUUUUUAGUAGAGUCGGGGUUUCACCAUGUUGGCCAGGCUGGUCUUGAACUCCUGACCUCAGGUGAUCCACCCACCUUGGCCUCCCAAAGUGCUAGGAUUACAGGACAGAAAUAAUUUGGUUUCCUCCAUACCAGAAUUUGAUUGGCUGACUAGCCAUGUGUCCCCAAGGAAUGGAAACGGGUUGGAGAAGAAAAGGCGUGUCCCAAGGGAUUAGUUUUUUACAAUAAUGAUAUAGGAGACUGGUCCCACCCCAUAGCAUCCAGCUGCUCCCUGGGGAGGCCUCACCGCCACACCUCAGGCUCUUUGGGAGGAACGACCUAGGGGCUGAUAUUCACUAGACUUUCCCAAGAGACUUGGCAGCUGUAGGCAUCUUGGGCCAGCCCCAGGUAGUCCUGAAACCCAGGAUCAGGAAAAGGCAGAGGGUGGGCUGAGGUCGCAUCACUGUAAAGUUUCCAAAGGGGAAUCUCAACCCAAGACAUUCUCAGAAGGUGUCUGUGCCUAGGGCAGAUAAAAAGAGACACAAAGAUUGUUUACAGCGGAGUGUCAGGUGGUUUUUCUCUGAAACGUUCACAAACACAAAACAAAUAUUUUUAAAACGGCCAUAUACUGCCCUCUAAAAAAAUGACGAUUAAAAUACUGCCUGUGUUUGAAACAUAGCCUGGAGGACGAAGAAGUGAUACUGUUGUGAACUAAAGGAAAUCCGUGUUAUAAAAUGCGGAAAGGGAUCAGGAAAUCCCAAAUUUGCUGCCAGCCUUAGGAGAAGGUAGCCUAGGGACCACAGUCGCGGAUUUGAGACCCUGCUUCGCGUAUAUUUGGGAAACUCAGAUAAAAUACAAAAGCCCCUGGUGAGAAAGAGGGAACUGGGGACCCCACAGCCUACAGCUCCUCUCACACGAACCCCAUACUCGAGGCAGGAUUUCCCCCAUGACCCUCUAGUGGCCCCCGUACAAUCUGGGGAGACACGGAGGCAGCGGGCGUGACUGGGGCAGCGGGCGCGGAGCUGACCAGAGAGGGCGCUGGGCCUGGGGCCACAGUCAGUUGCACAGGGACUGGACCGGACGGCUAGGGGUCUCGGCUGCCGUCGCAGCCCCACCCUGCGGCCUGAGAGGAACCAGGGCCGAGGUGCGCCAGGGGGACUUGGGUCUCAGAACCCAGAGUCAACUACGAAGAGGCCCGGGUCCCGCCACGGUCUAUUCCUGCCGGUUCCAACCAGUCCCAUCCUAGUCUCGGGACCCUCAGCCCCGCACACUCACCAAUUCCUGGCUUCCAGGUGUCCCAGUCCUCCCUACGGCUCCUGCUGCCAGUACGGGUCCCAGUGUGACAGAGGAUGCUACAGACACGUCUGUGGGUGUCUGUCAGCUACAGAGUAGGAGCCGCAUUUAGAGGGGUGAAGAUGCCGCGCACCCACCUCCCUGCAGUGCGCCUGAUCCACAGUUCUCACGACCCCACCCCAUGGCCCUGAUUGGAUACGGCUCCAGGUCCCGCCCCCUGGAGACCGAGUAACAGAAGAGGCGAUCUCACUGUGCUGAGUGGAGCGCGAUGAACAGGUUCCAGACACAGCCCUUGGCAGGCGGGCUUCCUCCCAGUGCAGUGACCCGACUCUCCUGGGGAGAAAUGUGCACUUAAGCAGAAUUUCCUGACUGAUUGUACUAAUGGCCCUUCCUGCUUCUUUUUCCUGGACCAGCAAUCACAAGUGUGUGCUAGGAAUCCCAGACUCACUGUCCAGUGGCGCCAUCUCCUGGCCUUGGAGCAGGAGGGGGGCUCUGUCCUCCAGGAAUCAGGAAUUUGGCAUGAGGCUGCUGGCGACAUAGUCAAGCCUUUCUCCCAUCUGAUGUCUCAAUCUGCUUAUUUUCAAGAAAAUAAAAACACAUCGAUAACAGGAUAAAACUGUUAAAUUCACGGAAAAGCUGGACUUAUAUGACAGCAAUAUUCUAUAAAGGAAUCAAUAGAGAGAAAAAGCAAAAACAUGAGCUAGCUCAGAGAAGCAGUCUUUCAGACGCAGUUCAGCAGGAAAACCCCAAUUUAGAGGUUAAACAUAUUCCCAACCAUGGGUGCCAGACUGUUGAAAUGGGUCCCCAGAGGCCGGGUGCGGUGGCUCACACCUGUAAUCCCAGCAUUUUGGGAGGCCAAUGCGGAUGGAUCACCUGAGGUCAGGAGUUCGAGACAAACCUUGCCAAUACGGUGAAACCCCGUCUCUACUAAAAAUACAAAAAUUAGCCAGGCAUGAUGGUGGGCGCCUGUAAUCCCAGCUACUCAGGAGGCUGAGGCAGGAGAAUCGCUUGAACCCGGGGUGGGGCGGCGGGGGGAGCGGACAGAGGUUGCAGUGAGCCAAGAUUGUGCCACUUCACUCCAGCCUGGGCGAAAGAGCAAAACUCUGUCUCAAAAAAGAAAAAAGAUAAGAAAAAGAAAUGGGUCCCCAGAGUGUCCCUGCCUCAUUACCAAGUCAUGGUGAUGAGGCAAGAUACAUAAGGAUUCAGCUCUGGGAGUUCAACUUGCCCUCUUGUCCCCUCUGCAGAGUGUGGCUAUGCUCCCUCCUUUAAGUGUUAAUAAAAGUUUCCAAUCAAAAGCCAAGAAACUAGACACUGAUUUUGAAAACAUAAGGAAUUCCUCGUAUUUUAUGAAAAACAAAGCUAUUAGUCAUACAGAACACGAAUAGUACAAUGGCAGACAUAAUGCCUUCGUUAUCGGUAAUUAAAUGGAAUAAACUUGCCAAACAAAAGACAGAGGCAGGGAGAAUGAAUCUUUAAAAUAUGAUCAAAUUGUAUCCUGUCUACAGCACAUUCAUUGUAGAUCUCAAUACCCAAGUCAGUUGAAAGAGAAUGAAAGAAAAAGAUAUUCCAUGCAAAUAGUAAUGUAAAGAGAGCAGGGGUGGCUAUACAAUUGUCACACAAAAUAGACUAAGUCAAAAACUGUUAAAAGACACAAAGAAGAGCACUAUAAAAGGCUCAAAUCAUACAGAAUAUAUAACAGUUAUAAAUAUAAUUGCACUAAAUAACAGAGGCCCAAAAUAUAUGAAGCAAACAUUUUAAAAAUUUAAAAGGAAGGUCAGGUGUGGUGGCUCACCCCUGUAAUCCCAGC
rnacentral:lncRNA from 10 species